AGGGGGGCGGUGCGGCUUCCGUGUGCCAAGCAGCGGCGUCUGGGAGCGGCCGCGGCCGGCUCCAGCACCCCCACGGGGCUUGAGAUGGGCGCUGUUUCCCGUCAUGCCCAGCGGCAGCCCAAGGAGUAGCGCGACCCGCACAGACUCGGUGGCGUCAGAGGAGUUUUAUUCUCAAAUACAAAAUACAGGAAGGACUGGGCCCCACCUCGGGCAGAAGGGUCUGACCAUUUGCUGGAUCGCAAAGCAGCUCCGAGUCAGUUUAAACUCGGGCUAUUUAUCCAAAAAGUCUCCUCUUGGUCUGUUGGUCUCUGGAGAAUCCCAUCUGAAGCAGUCUAUGCAGCCUCUCCAGGGCGAGGGACCUCUCUGGGGCAGGGGGCCAGACUCACUCAGGCAGCAGGACAUGCAACAAAGCUGUCAGCACUUCCCCUCCUGCCAGCAGGACUCCAUGGACUGCGAGGCGGGGGGAGCGCCACCGUGUGGUUACAUUCUUCAGUCCGGAAAUCAUUCACCGCUGGGGUGGAGCACACAGGGCUUAUACAGCACCAGCAGGGAGACUGGGACCCUUCCAAAUCCCUGGGAUCGUAAUGCCCCCUUCCCUGUAGGGAUCUGGGGUGCUUUUGUACUCAGUGCUGGCCUCCC